AGGUUUGAACUCUUCUUCUUUUGCGUCUGAGACUUACAAUUUGAGAAGUCCCGGUUCAACAAAGAUAAAAGAUGUGUCUACCGGGAAUAAGUACUUGGGUAUACUCAGUGCAGAUGAUGUAAGAAACUCUCUUAUUUUUUUUUAAUUUUUUUUGCAUUUUCAUCGUGUACUUCAUUUUUUUUAUUCAUGCAGCUCGACAUGUCCGUGCUAGCUGCCAGUCGCUGGCUCCUUCCUGCCAUUGUCGCUGUUUGUGGUUUGCUGCUUUUCUUGAGCUUAUGGAGGAUUCGUCAAAAGCGAAGGAGGAGGAGGAAAGGAUCGAAUUCGGCCACCCGAUUCACCAACCUAUAGCCUUAAGUAGUUCUUAUGCAAUAGAUAUCAUCACAAUCAUCAUAAAAAUGGCUUUGACAUGAUUAGGAAUUUCAUGAUGAUGAUGGUAAGUUUUGUAGAAUUAACUAUAAUUUCGACUUAUGAUUAUGUUCAGUUUCUUCUUGUAGGCGAUUUUUAUUAUUAUGUAGACUCUGGUACUUAAAUAGUGUAUACUAGCAAGCACCCAUUACACAGUACAGAAGAACAUAAGCUUAUAUCUUUUGCCAUUUCUUA